GACGAACGCUGGCGGCGUGCUUAACACAUGCAAGUCGAACGGAAAGGCCCUGCUUUUGUUGGGUGCUCGAGUGGCGAACGGGUGAGUAACACGUGAGUAACCUGCCCUUGACUUUGGGAUAACUUCAGGUAACUGGGGCUAAUACCGGAUAGGAGUUCCUGCUGCAUGGUGGGGGUUGGAAAGUUUCGGCGGUUGGGGAUGGACUCGCGGCUUAUCAGCUUGUUGGGGGGGUAGUGGCUUACCAAGGCUUUGACGGGUAGCCGGCCUGAGAGGGUGACCGGCCACAUUGGGACUGAGAUACGGCCCAGACUCCUACGGGAGGCAGCAGUGGGGAAUAUUGCACAAUGGGCGGAAGCCUGAGGCAGCAACGCCGCGUGCGGGAUGACGGCCUUCGGGUUUUAAACCGCUUUCGCCUGUGACGAAGCGUGAGUGACGGUAAUGGGUAAAGAAGCACCGGCUAACUACGUG
rnacentral:rRNA from 1 species